GACAGAGGAGCCAAGCGUUGUCCGGACUGACUGGGCGUAAAGCGCCCGCAGGCGGCCGUGCACGUGGGGUGUGAAAGCUCGCGGCUUAACUGCGAGAGGCCAUCCCAUACGGCGCGGCUCGAGCCGUCCAGAGGCGAGCGGAAUUCCUGGUGUAGCGGUGGAAUGCGUAGAUAUCAGGAAGAACACCGGUGGCGAAGGCGGCUCGCUGGGCCAGAUCCGACACUCAUCCGCGAAAGCGUGGGGAGCAAACAGG
rnacentral:rRNA from 1 species